rnacentral:lncRNA from 1 species
GGUAGCAGAAUCCACAUUCAUAGCUUCGUCUCUAACACACUCAUCCACUCCAACUGCUUCUUGUGUAGAAAAAUCAUCCAAUUUUAUAUUAUGCUCAUCAACAAGAGGGGAUGGAAUAGAUACGACACCAUCUACUAGUUGAUUAUCAUGUAGUUUUUCUCCAUCCACUUGUAUUCCUUUUUUUUCUAGAAAAUGAUCAAGAUUCAUUGCUGAUAAGACUGGUUUCCUCUUUACUUUUUUGCAAAUUUCUCCUUCUCCUUUUAUUCUUCCAAUCAUAUAUGAAGUGUUAAGAUCUUCCUUCGAAUACAACUAGAUUAUGGAUUUGUGUAUAGGUAAUUUACCAUUUCCUUGAUGUUGAAAGGACUCCUAAGAUUGAAUUAACCUUUGUCUACUUUGUCCUUCUCUUGCAUUACAUAUUGUAGGCAUAAGAUGCUUUUGUUUAUGAGUUACUGGUGCUUGCUCUUUCACUACUCUAUGCUCCUUAUCAUGAGAUAGUUUUUUUCUCUUAAUCUGAAAUUGCUUGGCCAAUUAGCACUUGAUCAAAACUGAAAAUAGAAAACAUAUCUUCUUCAUAGCACUUUGAGCUUUGUUUGGAUUCAACCAUUUUUU